UACGUAGGGGGCAAGCGUUGUCCGGAAUCAUUGGGCGUAAAGAGCGUGUAGGCGGUCCGGUAAGUCGGCUGUGAAAGUCCAGGGCUCAACCCUGGGAUGCCGGUCGAUACUGCCGGACUAGAGUUCGGAAGAGGCGAGUGGAAUUCCCGGUGUAGCGGUGAAAUGCGCAGAGUAUCGGGAGGAACACCUAUGGCGAAGGCAGCUCGCUGGGACGUUACUGACGCUGAGACGCGAAAGCGUGGGG
rnacentral:rRNA from 1 species